CAUUAGAUACCCGGGUAGUCCCAGCCGUAAACUAUGCGCGUUAGGUGUAUCGGUGACCACGAGUUACCGAGGUGCCGAAGGGAAACCGUGAAACGUGCCGCCUGGGAAGUACGGUCGCAAGGCUGAAACUUAAAGGAAUUGGCGGGGGAGCACAACAACGGGUGGAGCCUGCGGUUUAAUUGGACUCAACGCCGGACAACUCACCGGGACGACAGCAAUAUGUAGGCCAGGCUGAAGACCUUGCCUGAAUCGCUG
rnacentral:rRNA from 1 species